rnacentral:rRNA from 1 species
UUGAUCCUGGCUCAGAAUCAACGCUGGCGGCGUGCCUCAGACAUGCAAGUCGAACGCGAAAGGCUCCUUCGGGGGCUGAGUAGAGUGGCGCUCGGGUGAUUAACACGUAGGUAAUCUACCUUUGGGUGGGGAAUAACAGCCGGAAACGGUUGCUAAUACCGCAUAAUGCAGCGGCUCGACAUCGAGACAGUUGUUAAAGUGGAGGAUUCCGCAAGGAACUUCGCGCCUGAAGAGGAGCCUGCGGCAGAUUAGGUUGUUGGUGAGGUAAUGGCUCACCAAGCCUGCGAUCUGUAGCCGGCUUGAGAGGGCGGUCGGCCACACUGACACUUAAAUACGGGUCAGACUCCUAUGGGAGGCAGCAGUCGGGAAUUUUGGGCAAUGGGCGCAAGCCUGACCCAGUAACGCCGCGUGAGGGAUGAAAUCCUUCGGGAUGUAAACCUCGUAAGAAUUGGAAGAAUAAGUAGGGGCUAAUACCCCCUAUGAUGACGGUACCAUUUGUUAGCUCCGGCUAACUCCGUGCCAGCAGCCGCGGUAAUAAGGU